rnacentral:rRNA from 1 species
UACGUAGGGUCCGAGCGUUGUCCGGAAUUAUUGGGCGUAAAGGGCUCGUAGGCGGUCCGUCGCGUCGGGUGUGAAAUCUCGGGGCUUAACUCCGAAACUGCAUUCGAUACUGCCGUGCUUGAGGACUGGAGAGGAGACUGGAAUUUACGGUGUAGCGGUGAAAUGCGUAGAUAUCGUAAGGAAGACCAGUGGCGAAGGCGGGUCUCUGGACAGUUCCUGACGCUGAGGCACGAAGGCCAGGGGAGCAAACGGG